GGGCGUCCGGGCGCUGCCAAGGGUUCCUCCGUCUGCUGCUAGACACACCCAGGAACUUAGCCUGCGAUUCGUGCAAAACACCGUGCGUGGUCUUGUCUUGGCAGGAAUCCUUUUGUGGGCCCGUGGUUAUCGGAGGAAACUACUGAACACAUGCCUCCUGGAAGUGCAGAGUCGUAACCCCUGGACUGUUAGGGAAGUUCCAUGGUGUAUGUGACUUCUGAGACUAGGUUGAAAAGGUAUUGUGGAUUCCUCCUUGUUCUCUUUGUUGGGAUGCUCAUCUGGGGGAAGCCAGCCGCCAUGUCAUGAGGACACUCAAGCAGCACUGUGGAGGGUUCCAUGUGGCAAGGAACUGAGGCCUCCUGCCACAGCUAUGUGAGUGAGCCAGCUUCCAGUCCCAACCUUCAGAUGACUGUAGCCCCCCUGAUAUCUUGACUGUAACCUCACUGAAACCCUGAUUCAGAAUCAGCCUGCCAAGCUGUUCCCAGACCCCUGACAUUCAGAAACCAUGUGAAGUAAUAAAAAGCUUGUUGUUUUAAGCUACUGGAUUUGGGGGAUAUAGAUAACUAAAACACCAGCUAUACAGCCUUUGGCAAAUGAUCUUCCCUUGAUGUGGGUCUCUGUUACAUCAUUUACCCAGGG